rnacentral:misc_RNA from 1 species
GUUCGAGCGUCAUUUCAACCCUCAAGCCCUGCUUGGUGUUGGGGCACUAUUUUGUAUAGGCCCUGUAACGUAGUGGCGGAUCUGCUGUUAUCCUGAGCGUAGUAAUACACGUCGCUUUGGGCUUUCAGUGGGCUCCCGCCGUUAAAACCCCACUUUAUAAGGUUGACCUCGGAUCAGGUAGGAAUACCCGCUGAACUUAA